UACGAGGGGGGCGAGCGUUGUUCGGAAUUAUUGGGCGUAAAGGGUGCGUAGGCGGGUUGGUAAGUCUUAUGUGAAAUCUAUGGGCUCAACUCAUAGUCUGCAUGAGAAACUGCCGGGCUUGAGUAUGGGAGAGGUGAGUGGAAUUCCUGGUGUAGCGGUGAAAUGCGUAGAUAUCAGGAGGAACACCUGUGGCGAAGGCGGCUCGCUGGACCGCAACUGACGCUGAGGAACGAAAGCUAGGGGAGCAAACAGG
rnacentral:rRNA from 1 species